AACCACAAUGCGAACCCUUUAUUCCGUAUGCCAAUCGAGCCAGCUGUUGUGCUUCGGCGCUGCAGCAGCCAGGUCCGAACCCGCUUUCGGGCGGGGGAGGGCAACCCCUGGUGGCUCGGCUUGGUGUAUGCCCCACUCCGCUGUCCAUCGACCCAGCUUCGGCUGAACGGAUGGGUAGCUAAAACCAAAAUCUGAAGUCAUUGGGCGCUGCUCUGUCGGCCCCACUAACAAAGACAACUCUCAACAACGGAUAUCUUGGCUCUCGCAACGAUGAAGAACGCAGCGAAAUGCGAUACGUAGUGUGAAUUGCAGAAUUCCGUGAACCAUCGAAUCUUUGAACGCAUAUUGCGCUCGAUCCUUCGGGAAAGAGCAUGUCUGCCUCAGCGUCGUUUUGACACCUCACUCCCAUAUCUGCUUUGCAGGUAUCACGCAUCGGGUUGCGACCCGACUGCUGGGCGUGGAUCUGGCUUCCCCGGUGCUUGCAUCGGGCUGGCUGAAGUGUAGAGGCUAGAGCACGGACCCGUAUGGGCGUCAACUGGAUAGGUAGCACCCACGCAAGUGGACCUACACGAAGUUGUCUGCCUGGGACACGUGUUGGCGGCCAAACAGGAAACUCCUUCUCACUUCGACCUGAGCUCAGGCAAGACUACCCGCUG
rnacentral:rRNA from 1 species